GACGAACGCUGGCGGCGUGCUUAACACAUGCAAGUCGAACGAUGAAGGAGGAGCUUGCUCCUCUGGAUUAGUGGCGAACGGGUGAGUAACACGUGAGCAAUCUGCCCUUGACUCUGGGAUAAGCGCUGGAAACGGCGUCUAAUACCGGAUACGACCCUCGGAGGCAUCUCCUGUGGGUGGAAAGAACUUCGGUCAAGGAUGAGCUCGCGGCCUAUCAGCUUGUUGGUGAGGUAAUGGCUCACCAAGGCGACGACGGGUAGCCGGCCUGAGAGGGUGACCGGCCACACUGGGACUGAGACACCGCCCAGACUCCUACGGGAGGCAGCAGUGGGGAAUAUUGCACAAUGGGCGCAAGCCUGAUGCAGCAACGCCGCGUGAGGGACGACGGCCUUCGGGUUGUAAACCUCUUUUAGCAGGGAAGAAGCGAGAGUGACGGUACCCGCAGAAAAAGCACCGGCUAACUACGUGCCAGCCGCCGCCGUAACAC
rnacentral:rRNA from 1 species